GACGAACGCUGGCGGCGUGCCUAAUACAUGCAAGUCGAGCGGAAUGAUGAAGAAGCUUGCUUCUUCUGAUUUUAGCGGCGGACGGGUGAGUAACACGUGGGCAACCUACCUUGUAGAUUGGGAUAACUCCGGGAAACCGGGGCUAAUACCGGAUAAUCCAUUUUGCUUCAUGGCGAGAUGUUAAAAGGCGGCUUCGGCUGUCACUACGAGAUGGGCCCGCGGCGCAUUAGCUAGUUGGUAGGGUAAUGGCCUACCAAGGCGACGAUGCGUAGCCGACCUGAGAGGGUGAUCGGCCACACUGGGACUGAGACACGGCCCAGACUCCUACGGGAGGCAGCAGUAGGGAAUCUUCCACAAUGGACGAAAGUCUGAUGGAGCAACGCCGCGUGAGUGAAGAAGGUUUUCGGAUCGUAAAACUCUGUUGUAAGGGAAGAACACGUACGAGAGUAACUGCUCGUACCUUGACGGUACCUUAUUAGAAAGCCACGGCUAACUACGUG
rnacentral:rRNA from 1 species